rnacentral:rRNA from 1 species
GACGAACGCUGGCGGCGUGCUUAACACAUGCAAGUGGAGCGACGAACCAGGGCUUGCCCUGGGGCAGAGCCGCGAACGGGUGAGUAACACGUGGGUAACGUACCCCGAUGACUGGGACAACCCGGGGAAACCCGGGCUAAUACCGGAUGUCCACCCUCACAUCAGUGAGGUGUGUAAAGGAAGCUUCGGCCUCCGCGUUGGGAUCGGCCCGCGGCGCAUUAGCUUGUUGGUGAGGUAACGGCNCACCAAGGCCGCGAUGCGUAGCUGGUCUGAGAGGACGAUCAGCCACACUGGGACUGAGACACGGCCCAGACUCCUACGGGAGGCAGCAGUGGGGAAUCUUGCGCAAUGCGCGAAAGCGUGACGCAGCAACGCCGCGUGGGGGAAGAAGGCCU